UACGUAGGGGGCAAGCGUUGUCCGGAUUUAUUGGGCGUAAAGAGCGUGUAGGCGGCCAGGUAGGUCUGCUGUGAAAACUCGAGGCUUAACCUCGAGCUGUCGGCGGAAACCAUCUGGCUAGAGUCCGGAAGAGGAGAAUGGAAUUCCCGGUGUAGCGGUGAAAUGCGCAGAUAUCGGGAAGAACACCCGUGGCGAAGGCGGGUCUCUGGGAC
rnacentral:rRNA from 1 species